rnacentral:rRNA from 1 species
GUCUACGGCCAUGCCGCCCUGAACAAGCUCAACCCCAUCUGACCUCAGAAGCUAAGCAGGGCCGGGCCUGGUUAGUACUUGGAUAGGAGAUCACUUAGGAAGACCAGGUGCUGUAGGCA